UAGUAGGAUAAGGCUUGGUUGUUGUUUUAUCAAUCAGCUAGCAAGUGCGAGGGCACAAGCUCGAAAAAGAUUUUAGUAUAAGCAUGUGUAUUAGCAAGUCAAAAUUGGAUUUAUAAUUUGGGCAUAAAACCAUCUUGCCUCUUCUAUAUGCCUCUUUGGAUAGAAGUGUUUAACAUCGCUAAAAUUUUGAUUUAGGCUGAGAUAAUAUUAAUACGCAUAUCAUGAUGAAAUAUUACAUAUUAACUUCUUGUCAAUAGUUUUAGGAAAAAUAUAAAAAGGGAAGUCCAGUGCACCCUCCAAUACUAGGUCCCGGGGAAAGGUCUAUUUGUACUCAGUCUUACCCUGCAUUACAAUAGGUUGUUUCUGUGACUCAAUUCCACGACUUUACUAUUGCACUAAUGCUCCCCUUAUUAAGGAAAAAUGUAGACGCCAACCUAAUUUAUGUGUUCUUCAAUGUUGGUACACAAACACAAAAACAACAAAAAUAAAAUCGGUAGAAACAAUAUUAGCUACCCUGCUAUUAUUGUAUUUAGGUGAAUGUUUUGGUGGGUUGGGAAAAACAUGGUUUGAUGACGAUGAUGAUAUGAUAUAAUUAUUUGGAAAAAAAUAACUGUGAUAGCAUUGCCUCUACAUGAGUGUUUCCCCCUGCUGCCAUACUAUAAAUUUAAAUUUUAUAACAAUCAAACAAGAAGAAUGAGAAGAGAAAAUGAAUAUAGGGAAUUAAUAAUUCAUUUUAAAUUACAAUUUUAAAUGAACUAAUGAAAUUCCUGAAAUACUGGUGAGAAAUGGAACAUAAAUUUUGGAGAGGGAGAAGAGGCCUAAACUUGGAAAUACUAUUUCAGCUAUAAAACCAGCCAUCUAGUGUUCUUUCCAGUGAUAGUCAAUUGGAAUGGUGCAUGGUUGCUUGUGGAUCCAUAUCGAGUAUAGCAUCGCUAGCCCAUGCAUGGGCAUGUGUCGGUAUUGGACCAAGAUUUUAAGCCAUGCUUGGACCCUGAUUUGGAAAAUUUCUGCUAGGACUGAAUCUUCAGGAUUAUGCCGAAAGGUUACUGAUGUCUGAUGUAUAAUUCAAUGUUAGAAUUACGAAACAAGUAUUUUCAUGAGUUCAACCUUCUUGACUGUUGUCAUCCUCUUAUGUAAUAUUUCCUCUCUAUUCUCAGAUUCUAUCUGUCAAAAUUAAUUAAGCAGAGCCUAGUCUAGGUGGGCUUGCGUCUUGCCGUCUUUUCCUUGCUGAUGUUGACGCCUUCCAUGGAACUGCUAAACUUCUUGAGAUAUGCAGUGACAUGAUUGUCAACAUUGAUUUGCAGGCUAAUGAGAUUAGAUGCUUGCUGUGUAGAAGAUGUUGACUGGGACAAUCUUCUUGAGCACAGACCCGGGGAUAUUUGCCGCAAGCGGUGGACUGAAAUGACGCGAUAUAUUAGCAAGAAUAAGGAGAAAUCUUUUAUCGAACAGGUGGAAGUGCUUUCGCAACACUAUUCAGAGAUGACGGAAUAUCGAAAGUGAAGUGACACUAUUCAGAGAUGACGGAAUAUCGAAAGUGAAGUGAUCCUCAUGAUGUAACUUUGUGCUUCCAAAUAGUUGAAAUGAAAUCGAGUUCUGUGUUUGUUUUUUUUUUUUCACAAGUCAUCACUGUGAGACUAAAUUGUGGUAUAACAGUGUGAUUCCUUAAGAAAAGAUUUGUAUUUAGGCAAACGAUAGCAAUAUAAAUGUGUCGAGCUUAGUUGCAUUCAAGUUUUUUUUAA